rnacentral:miRNA from 14 species
GGUUAAAGGGAGGCGCUCACACAGCUGCUCACAACUGGAGCAUUGGUGGUUCAGUGGUAGAAUUCUCGCCUGCCA